AAAACAUGGUUAGGGCAUUUCCUUAAAAGAUCCUUGAACCUCUCAAGGGCUUCAAAGAGUGUUACUAAAUCAUCUUAUCUAAAAGAAGAAAUUUCUUGUCUCAGCCU